rnacentral:rRNA from 1 species
CCUACGGGAGGCAGCAGUGGGGAAUUUUGGACAAUGGGCGCAAGCCUGAUCCAGCAAUGCCGCGUGAGUGAAGAAGGCCUUCGGGUUGUAAAGCUCUUUUGUCAGGGAAGAAACGGGUCUUUCUAAUACAGAGGCCUAAUGACGGUACCUGAAGAAUAAGCACCGGCUAACUACGUGCCAGCAGCCGCGGUAAUACGUAGGGUGCAAGCGUUAAUCGGAAUUACUGGGCGUAAAGCGUGCGCAGGCGGUUUUGUAAGUUUGUCGUGAAAUCCCCGGGCUCAACCUGGGAAUGGCGAUGAAGACUGCAAGGCUAGAGUUUGGCAGAGGGGGGUAGAAUUCCACGUGUAGCAGUGAAAUGCGUAGAUAUGUGGAGGAACACCGAUGGCGAAGGCAGCCCCCUGGGUCAAAACUGACGCUCAUGCACGAAAGCGUGGGGAGCAAACAGGAUUAGAUACCCUGGUAGUCCACGCCCUAAACGAUGUCUACUAGUUGUCGGGUCUUAAUUGACUUGGUAACGCAGCUAACGCGUGAAGUAGACCGCCUUGGGGAGUACGGUCGCAAGNUUAAAACUCAAAAGUGAAGUUGACGNGAGAGACGNGACGAGACACGAGGAGGGAG